AGAAGCGUUACAAAGAGAAAAAAACAGUUUUGAAAUGAAUUGCAAGCUAUACAAUACAAAUUAAAACUACCUUUUUUUUUCUCCUUGCACUAAGUUAGUAGGCAGGAGGAGUAAACUUUGCAGACACAUCUGCCAGUGCAAACAUACUUACCACAUUUAUUUAUAUGGCUGCCUUUAUUUUGAAACAACUAAUUUAUUUUCACAAUGUAUCUGUAGGGUAAACCUAUGAUAGCUGUAACUAUCCCACAAGCAUCGUGAAUUUGUGAUAAUUCAGCAUUUAUUAUAACACUGAAAAGAGGCAGCAUAUGUGAGAAAUCAAUUCAUUUCAUUCCUCCAUUUCCAAGGGUUGAGGAACUUCGGAUAUCAGGAGACACAAACGAUGAAGAAGAUUUUUCUCUUCUGAAACAACUGUUGUGUAUUUGUGUGCAGGUAAACUACAGACUUCCAUCUGAAGGGAGAGGAGAUAAUUUAUUCAGUGAAAAUGUUUAUAAUGCAGAUCCUCGCAAACUACAUUAUCCUAAGGAUUUAAAAAUUCUUAAACUUCAUAAGAAGUGUGCUAACAAGUCAUCUCGAGCUGAAUGAGCUGUACCCUGGCUGAGAAAAUGUCUUCACUGUCAGCUUUCUCAGAUUGUAUAGAAACGUUACUGAAGUCAAUCACAGAACAGGCUAGGAAAUCAAAGGGAUUAGAGCUCUUCCAUUUCAAAGUAUCAGCUACUCCUAAUCUUUCCCGUUGUCAGCUAUCCAAUGAGCUUCAGGUACCAGAAUAGGCUGUAACCUAUGUCAUUUACAGUCUCGUUUUUUCACUGUAGUUGAAUUUUAUUUAAUAAUAAGAAUUACUGUAUUUUAUAUGUAAAGAAAUGAUUUGCAUCAAAAAUUUUACUUGUGCAAGUCAAGCUUGAACUCUUUUGUGCAACAGUGUCUUGAUUGCAUGUUUGGCCAUUUGCAGAAUCAUUUUCCCUUGAAUAUUGUAUUAUAACUUUCUAAACAUGGUAAGCUGAAGACGUUUAGUCAAAUUCAAACUCCAUCUAGACUGUGCCUGCCAGUUACACAGAGAUCUGGAAGUCCUGCAGCCUCUGGUCUUUUCCUAAGGACCCAUCACAGUUCCUGACAUGGUUCCACCUGGGCCCUGCAUGCAACUUUAGCAGGGGACAGUCAGCACAGGCAUUGCACAGUAACUCUCACUUCAACCCUAUGCCUGUCUGCACGAGAGAUUCCACUAUAAGGUGCUGCUGGCCUGCAACCCUCAUAACCCCACAGAAAUCUGCAUGCAGAGAACCUUCAUCAGCAUGAAUUAUUUGUUAAGAUGUUGUUCAUUGAUAAUCAGAACACAGCCACAAAGAGCCUUUAAAAAAGGCUGCCAUCAUUACUUUUGUUUCUCAGUUGGGAUACUGUAACACAUAAAGAUGCAAACUGGUUUGGGGCUUCAUAAUUCUCUUUUAUAAAAAAUGGGCUAUUUUGGUCUAUGGCCCAAAAUACCUAUGGUCAAAGAAAAUAGAAACAAUAGAAUAAGGAACUCCUGAGAUGUGUAUAAUUCUAGCUCAGCUUUUUAUUUACAAAAUAUCGUGUUGCCAUAACACAAUUGAUAUCUACUAUGUGAAAAUAUCUUCCUUGAAAUUCCAUAGUUGAAAUUACUUUCCUUUGAUGACCAUCCGCCUUCCAGCUUGCAACCUAGCUACUUUAUUCUGAAACACAGAAAUAAGGCAAAAUAUCUGCCGAGCCUCCCCCCCCCAUUGUUUCCAAGAGAAAAUGACCACGCUCUUCUACUUCUGUGCUGAGAAUGAUUUAAAUUUGUAUUAGAAAUAAUAAAUUCAAAGCUUUGAAACUUUGCUAUAAAAUUUCAGUACUAACAGAUAUUUCAAAUGCUUUCUGUUUCAGAUUUAUGUUGAAGGUACUCAGUUCCUUUGGGAACAGCUUAUAAGUACUACUGAAUCAUUACUAUUUCUUUACAGUAGGGACUAUUAGCUUCGCAGCAUUUCUGAGACAACUUUAUAGUGGAAACCAAUAGAACAAAGAAAUAUAGAUUCAGGAGGAUCAACACAAUAUCACCAUUAUAAAUUUUGAAUACUGCAACUGCUACUUCUGCCCACCUGGCGGAGCAGUGCUUUCAAAUGAAGUACAAGAAGUUACCCAAAAGAUAAACUACUUUCCCUGCACGUACAUGGAACCUCUUACAGAUGCUUUAUGUUAUUUUAAAACUAACUCUUGAUUUUUCAAUGACUUGUUACUAAUCUUCUCAGGUUUUAAUGUAUGCAAUUUUUCUAUUAGAACUUAGUUAUAAUUUUGAAACUGUUUUUGAAAUUUCCAGAUAGUUAACAUUUACAAGAUGUUUUAUGCAGAUGGUAACAGAAAAUGUAAAGAAUUAUCUUCUCACCUUAACUGCUUCUAGUCAGUACUACACAUGUGGUAGUAAAGAGAUAGAACUGAAGUACAGUCUUACAGAUUCUCUGAUGUUUAUUUUCUCAGCUUCAAUCAUCAAUUAAAACCAUAAAGUCUUACAAAUAAAUACUGCAUGUCAAUUAGCUUAAGCAAUUGUGAUUAAAUAUUUAAAAAUUAUUAAGUAGUUUCUAUGCAGUGAUAAGCUGCAGUGAUGAUUAAUGAAAUGGUGCACACUUCUAAUUACAUCCACACUGUCUUUGGUAACAAUGUCCAGGUGUGCAUUUGAACUCCUGCUCCUAUUGGUGUGCACUAUGCAGCCACACCAUAAAGGCCUUAGGGCCUGCAGCACAUAUAACUGCAUUCACACCACACUUGUACCAUCACGUACUCGGGUGUGAAAGUUGCCAUAGCCCCUUUGUGCUGCUACAGACCUUAAUUGCAUGCACACCAUUCCCAGCCUCCUUCCUCCUGUCCAUCUGCUGGUAAUCUCCCACAUGCCAGUAAUGCCUUUGCCCAUUAGUCACAGGAGGUCUCAGACUGACUUCUGCUCUGAAGUUACUCAUGUUCUCUUUGAAGAGCCUGAUAGUAGAUUGGCACAUAGAGCUGAUAUGUUUGACUUCAUCAUCGCUGUCCCUUUGCAGCAGAGUCUUUUAAGGAGGUAUGAAGACCUUUUGUUUGUUUUGACCAUACAGCUCUCCAGCUGGAAUUAUUGUUCCUCUGUUAAGUAUUGGAGAAGACAUUUAGCAACUGACCCUUGCUGACACUUGUCAUGCCUUUGAGGAAGUUAUGGAUGUCUGCCACGUCUUGUCCCUGGCAGGAGCCAUAAAGGAGCCAAUGUAUACAGAAAAUCAGGGAACCAGGCAGGGAAUGUGUAUGGUCAGGAGAACUUCAGUGUUACUAUUGAGGCGUGCCAAAACAACUUGUGUUGUUAUUUCUAGGUCACAAUAAAAGCAAAACUCUGUUUUUGCAUUUUGCCUAAUUAUCAUCACUUUUAGCUAAAGAAGAGAUGCAGUGUGAAGACAAUGUGCACUGGUUGCCAGUUUCUCACCUCUGCUUGGUAGCUUUGUAUACAAAAUGGAAAGUGCUAGUGCAAACUUGGAUGAUGACUAAAGUAGCUUUUCUCAUAGCAGGAUGUGUUCCUGAUCUGCCUGCUAUUUACAUUACCUAGCUGCAGCUUCUCUCAUCAUUUGUGCUCUAUGCAAGUCUGGAAUUAUUUGCAUUUUAAGGCCAUCGUUGUCACGAAUGUUGAAGUGACUCAUAAUUUGUUAAACAUUUGAGUUGCUGUCAGUAUAAUGGCUGAUUCUGAAAUGCUUCCUUCAAAAAGCUCAACUCAAUUUCCUCUUUUUUUUCCCUAAACUUUUUUUCAGGUUUCUGACAUUUUAUUACUAACGUGCAGAAGUACCGUUAGUUCCACCAGCUUUUAUCCAGGAAACUGAGCAUAAAUCUACACAGGUCUAGUCCAGUCAUCCCAGAAAACUACUGUAAUUAAAGUAUCAAGCUAAUGAGACUCUGUAUGUGUGUUUACACACAAGUCUCUAUGUGCCUCUGUUCAUGUACCUGUCUUGCUCUUGCUCUAACUAUGUCCCUUCUCCCCCCCUUUCCUCCUUGUGCUCCAAAUUCACUUAGGUAUUUCUUCUCCACAUAAACUGGAAAGAGUUUCAACGUUCCCACCCCAUUCCAGGAUGGGAAUUGAGGAAGUUAUUUUAAUAAAAAGGU